rnacentral:rRNA from 1 species
UACAGGGGGUGCAAACGUUGCUCGGAAUCAUUGGGCGUAAAGCGCGCGUAGGCGGUUGCUUAUGUCGGAUGUGAAAGCCCUCGGCUUAACUGAGGAAGUGCAUCCGAAACUGAGCAGCUAGAGUACGAAAGAGGGUCGCGGAAUUCACGGUGUAGCAGUGAAAUGCGUAGAUAUCGUGAGGAAGACCAGUUGCGAAGGCGGAUCUCUGGGCAGUUCCUGACACUGAGGCACGAAGGCCAGGGGAGCAAACGGG